ACUUCCUUUAGAUGGUUGCUCGGUUGCUCAAGAGUCCUCUGACUGCAUAGUACGGAGAGGAGGGCUCCUGUGCUGAGUGUCUUUUUUUUGCCCCUCUGCAUUCACUUUUCACCUUCCUCCACCCUGCUUUGAGCCUUAGGAGGUUGACUUCUCUAAACUGCAUCAACCGCUUCCCUUGCCAUCUGAUGUUUCUUACCGUGUAUCUCAGUAACAAUGAGCAGCACUUCACAGAAGUUCCAGUUACUCCAGAAACAAUAUGCAGAGACGUGGUGGAUCUGUGCAAAGAACCCGGCGAGAGUGAUUGCCAUUUGGCUGAAGUGUGGUGUGGCUCUGAACGUCCAGUUGCGGAUAAUGAGCGAAUGUUUGAUGUUCUUCAACGAUUUGGAAGUCAGAGGAACGAAGUUCGCUUCUUCCUUCGUCAUGAACGCCCCCCUGGCAGAGACAUUGUGAGUGGACCAAGAUCUCAGGAUCCAAGUUUAAAAAGAAAUGGUGUAAAAGUUCCUGGUGAAUAUCGAAGAAAGGAGAACGGUGUUAAUAGUCCUAGGAUGGAUCUGACUCUUGCUGAAC
rnacentral:sRNA from 1 species